AAAAGAAUCAAGGACCACAACAAUCAGAGUGGCGCGAACCGAAAAACAAGCAAAUGGUUCGAGACAUUAGACCAGAUCUUGGGCCACCGACCUGCUUAUUCGGGGAACUCAGGAACAAAGGACUCGUGCGCUGGGCUUCUGGAGUUGAGAACCCGUGGUGAAAAUGGUUCCACCUCGGAGGAGUUCGAAGAGACGGAGCUGAACAGCAUCCUGGAUGCUCCCGCAGCCGCCAGCACGCCAUCCCGCCAUCGCUAAGUGAACAUUCCUCAAACCGAUGUUGCAUCAACAAGUAUCAGCCAGCCAUGUCUUGAUGCAUCCACCAUCUGCCAGCCCACAACAGUGACUAUUCUAGAGACGGCUACCACAUUGCCAUUAGCGUCCACCAGCCAUCAACAGCCAGCUGCCAGCACCGUCAGCUGCUCGAGACCUGGAAAGAGAAAACAGACAGACACUCUUCUGACCACUGUGCAGGAGAUGCUUGUGUCAGAUGCAGAGCUGCAACGCACAAGUGAUGAACGCUU